UCGGGAUUAGCUCAAUGGUAGAGCGAUCGGCUUUGACCCGGUUGACGUAGGUUCGAUUCCUUCAUCCCGAACCA
rnacentral:tRNA from 1 species